ACACACACACAGAAGACUGACAGUAAACGGGCAGAAACACUCGAAGGAGAAAACAUAGGAAACACUGGGAACUGAUGAGGUGGAACAGCCAAAUCUUUACAGGUUUUGAUUUAAUUUGUUGCAGAUAUUGAGAACGACUUCUGACUGGACAUUUCCUCUCACAGUCAGCUGGCUGUCACCGGUAGCCUUUAGACUGAGUUCAACUGCAAAUUUUAACAGAAACAAGAGAUGACACCAAGCAGCUGAGCAAACUGGUCCUGUGUAGUGGUGGACAUUGGGUUAAUGAGUCGGACUCAGAGAGACAGCCAGAGUACGAGCCUCGUGUUCUUGGAGCUGGAAUCUUUCAGGAGAAGGGGCCUCGGUGGCCGUGGUGUUGGGGGAGCCAAGACCUGCCGUGUUUCCUGAACGGAGGGGUAAUGUGAGUCGCCGCCGUCACCGAUGCACUCCUGCACCCAAGAUGCGGAAGACUUUGAUGCAGCAGAGCAGUGAAGAGCCUCUCUCUGAAAACUAAACAAAUACCCUCUCGAUUGGCUGUGAAAGGGAGCAAAUUAGGCCUGUCUGUUGAAGUGAGAGUGCUACAUAAUCAGCUGGAAGGAGAGAGAGAGGAGAUAAGUGAGUUUUUGGCUGAAUUGAUAUGCUAAUGCAGUAAAUUUACAUGACCCGCUCAUACCAACAAAGAAGAAGAUUUAAACCACAAGAAGACACUUUGUUUUAAAUUUUUAUUGGUUUGGUGAAGUAAUCACAGACACAGAGAAGCUGUUCAACUGCAAACAAAUCUUUGUCUUUUCACAUUUGUAACAAAUAGCAUUUAUUUAAAGUUUUUAAAGGAUCCAAUCUAGAUUUGGCGAUAAGGCUGAACAUGAUACUGCAUUUAAGAAACGGCCUAAAAUCUUCAUACUGGUAGAAAUGGGUUCUAAGGCUGGCAAGGUCAGUUUAUCCAAGCACUGUGGAACAAAUUGAUUUGUAAUUUAUUUUGAAUAUUAAAAGGUCCCAAGAGAAAGAACCAUAAUAUAUUUUGUGACCUCCUGAUCACCUUCUUUAAGCACUAGCGUCUGAAACUAGCAGCGCCACUAAGUCUUCUGUGCUCAUUGACGGCUGUUUGGAAAACAACCGAGCCAAUCAGAGCUUUGCCCGACAUAACAAAUGUUAAGUUAACUGUACGUUUAAGUCACCACAGGCAAGCAGAACUGAGAGCAGCUAAUUUGAACACAAUGUCAGACUGUAUAAUGAAAUAAAAACAAUGGUAAUUUGGUCUGAUUAUCAGGUUUGAAUAGGAUUUUUUUUUCCUCUGCAACCUUUCCCCCCUAUACCUAUACAUUUAUUAUUUUGGAAUGAAACCCUUAAUACUCUCUGAUUUGAAGUCAUUAUAACGUUUAGAACUCGCACAUUUUACCUUCAAGCACUUAAUAACCCCACUGGCACAAACUUUAAAA